UUUCCGGUUGAUCCCGCCGGACCUGACUGCUAUCGGAUUGACACUAAGCCAUGCGAGUCUUUGUAGUAAUACAAGGCAGACGGCUCAGUAACACGUAGUCAACCUACCCUAUGGACAAGAAUAAUCUCGGGAAACUGGGCAUAAUUCUUGAUAGAUCAUAAUGCCUGGAAUGGUUUAUGGUUAAAAUGAUUCGUCGCCAUAGGAUGGGACUGCGGCCUAUCAGCUUGUUGGUGAGGUAAUGGCCCACCAAGGCGAUUACAGGUACGGGCUCUGAGAGGAGAAGCCCGGAGAUGGGUACUGAGACACGGACCCAGGCCCUAUGGGGCGCAGCAGGCGAGAAAACUUUGCAAUGUGCGAAAGCACGACAAGGUUAAUCCGAGUGAUUUCUGCUAAAGAAAUCUUUUGCCAGUCAUAAAACCACUGGUGAAUAAGGGGUGGGCAAGUUCUGGUGUCAGCCGCCGCGGUAAAACCAGCACCUCAAGUGGUCAGGAUGAUUAUUGGGCCUAAAGCAUCCGUAGCCGGCUUUGUAAGUUUUCGGUUAAAUCCAUGUGCUCAACGCAUGGGCUGCCGAAAAUACUGCAUGGCUAGGGAGUGGGAGAGGUAGACGGUACUCAGUAGGAAGGGGUAAAAUCCUUUGAUCUAUUGAUGACCACCUGUGGCGAAGGCGGUCUACCAGAACACGUUCGACGGUGAGGGAUGAAAGCUGGGGGAGCAAACCGGAUUAGAUACCCGGGUAGUC
rnacentral:rRNA from 1 species